rnacentral:rRNA from 1 species
AGUGAACGCUGGCGGCGUGCUUAACACAUGCAAGUCGAACGAGAACGGAUUAUAGCUUGCUAUAAUUGUCAGCUAAGUGGCGCACGGGUGAGUAAUAUAUAGGUAACGUGCCCUAGAGAAGAGGAUAACAGUUGGAAACGAUUGCUAAGACUCUAUAUGCCUUUAAGACUUAAGUCUGCAAGGGAAAUAUUUAUAGCUCUAGGAUCGGCCUGUACAGUAUCAGUUAGUUGGUGAGGUAAUGGCUCACCAAGACAAUGACGCUUAACUGGUUUGAGAGGAUGAUCAGUCACACUGGAACUGAGACACGGUCCAGACUCCUACGGGAGGCAGCAGUGGGGAAUAUUGCACAAUGGACGAAAGUCUGAUGCAGCAACGCCGCGUGGAGGAUGACACAUUUCGGUGCGUAAACUCCUUUUAUAUGGGAAGAUAAUGACGGUACCAUAUGAAUAAGCACCGGCUAACUCCGU